AGUGAACGCUUUCUUUCUUCCUAACACAUGCAAGUCGAACGGCAGCACAGUAAGAGCUUGCUCUUACGGGUGGCGAGUGGCGGACGGGUGAGGAAUACAUCGGAAUCUACUUUUUCGUGGGGGAUAACGUAGGGAAACUUACGCUAAUACCGCAUACGACCUACGGGUGAAAGCAGGGGAUCUUCGGACCUUGCGCGAUUGAAUGAGCCGAUGUCGGAUUAGCUAGUUGGCGGGGUAAAGGCCCACCAAGGCGACGAUCCGUAGCUGGUCUGAGAGGAUGAUCAGCCACACUGGAACUGAGACACUGUCCAGGCUCCUACGGGAGGCAGCAGUGGGGAAUAUUGGACAAUGGGCGCAAGCCUGAUCCAGCCAUACCGCGUGGGUGAAGAAGGCCUUCGGGUUGUAAAGCCCUUUUGUUGGGAAAGAAAAGCAGCAGGUUAAUACCCCGCUGUUCUGACGGUACCCAAAGAAUAAGCACCGGCUAACUUCGUG
rnacentral:rRNA from 1 species